rnacentral:rRNA from 1 species
UACGAAGGGGGCUAGCGUUGCUCGGAAUGACUGGGCGUAAAGGGCUCGUAGGCGGCCAACUAAGUCAGACGUGAAAUCCCCAGGCUCAACCUGGGAACUGCGUCUGAUACUGGAUGGCUUGAAUUCGGGAGAGGGAUGCAGAAUUCCAGGUGUAGCGGUGAAAUGCGUAGAUAUCUGGAGGAAUACCGGUGGCGAAGGCGGCAUCCUGGACCGACAUUGACGCUGAUGAGCGAAAGCUAGGGGAGCAAACAGG